rnacentral:rRNA from 1 species
ACGGGUGCGUAACGCGUAUGCAACCCACCCGCUGUCGGGGGAUAGCCCGGAGAAAUUCGAAUUAAUACCCCAUGAGGAGGAGAUGAGGCAUCUCGUUUCUUUCAAAACUUCGGUGACGGCGGACGGGCAUGCGUGCCAUUAGAUGGUUGGCGGGGUAACGGCCCACCAAGUCGACGAUGGCUAGGGGAUCUGAGAGGACGGUCCCCCACACUGGUACUGAGACACGGACCAGACUCCUACGGGAGGCAGCAGUAAGGGAUAUUGGUCAAUGGGGGAAACCCUGAACCAGCCAUGCCGCGUGAGGGAAUAAGGCCCUACGGGUCGUAAACCUCUUUUGCCGGGGGAUAAAGACAGCUACGUGUAGCUGUUUGAAGGUACCCGGAGAAUAAGCAUCGGCUAACUCCGUGCCAGCAGCCGCGGUAAUACGGAGGAUGCGAGCGUUAUCCGGAUUUAUUGGGUUUAAAGGGUGCGCAGGCGGGCGAUUAAGUCAGCGGUGAAAGGCUCGGGCUCAACCGGAGCAGUGCCGUUGAUACUGGUUGUCUUGAAUGCGGUCAAGGCCGGCGGAAUGUGGCGUGUAGCGGUGAAAUGCAUAGAUAUGCCACAGAACACCGAUAGCGAAGGCAGCUGGCCGGGCCUGCAUUGACGCUGAGGCACGAAAGCGUGGGGAUCGAACAGGAUUAGAUACCCUGGUAGUCCACGCUGUAAACGAUGGACACUCGUUGUCGGCGACAGACAGUCGGCGGCCAAGCGAAAGUGAUAAGUGUCCCACCUGGGGAGUACGGUCGCAAGGCUGAAACUCAAAUGAAUUGACGG